rnacentral:rRNA from 1 species
CCUACUGGAGGCAGCAGUGAGGAAUCUUGGUCAAUGGACGAGCGUCUGAACCAUCCAAGUAGCGUGAAGGAUGACUGCCCUAUGGGUUGUAAACUUCUUUUAUAUGGGAAUAAAAUGUUCCACGUGUGGGAUUUUGUAUGUACCAUAUGAAUAAGGAUCGGCUAACUCCGUGCCAGAAGCCGCGGUAAUACGGAGGAGCCGAGCGUUAUCCGGAUUUCUUGGGUUUAAAGGUAGCGUAGGUGGAUUGUUAAGUCAGCUGUGAAAGUUUGUGGCUCAACCGUAAAAUUGCAGUGGAAACUGGCAGUCUUGAGUACAGUAGAGGUGUGCGGAAUUCGUGGUGUAGCGGUGAAAUGCUUAGAUAUCACGAAGAACUCCGAUUGCGAAGGCAGCUCACGGGACUGCAACUGACACUGAGGCUCGAAAGUGUGGGUAUCAAACAGGAUUAGAUACCCGUGUAGUC